UAAAUAGUAGAUCGUUCAUUAUUUAAGGAGUACGUUUAACGACAACUUAAUUCAUAUAGUUCAAGACGUUUACAAAUAAAAGUAUUUUACAUUCGCACUGUGCGUGUCUAAAGGAUAUUAAACAUUUAAUAAAAUAAUAAAAAUAAUAUAACGGUAAAACAAAAAUAAAUCGCUUAUUUUGUCAUCAACCGUAACAAUAAAUACGUUGAGCUUGAUUUGUACACGUAAAACACAAAAUAUUACAGUGAAAUGGGUUAAGUAGUACACAAUAUCGAAAAAAAUUACAAUUUAGAGCCUUAGUGUUCUUUCAAAAUGCAAAACAAGUAACAAGAGUUUGCUGUAAGAUUCUGGACAAAAGCAAAAUUAAAAACAAACGAGCACUUUAUACUGCGUUGCUAGAUUACCAGGAUAAAGUGGAUUCGCUUUGGAUAAAGUAGCAGUACCAGUGAAGUAUAAUAAUUGGAAGAUGUACUGCAAAAACCUAAACUAUCACCGCUCAAGUUCGCGACGAAAAUCUCACGGGAUGGAGGAAACGCGUGCAAUCGCUCGGACAAAAUGAACGUUCAAUCGGUGCAGAAUAUUAUAUUGAUCCGAUGCGGUUCUUGAAAACACGACUUACGAAGUCAGAUUUCUCGUGACGUGCGAAAAGCCAUAAGUAUUAAGUGUAUCCCCAAAGAUCACUCGAUAGUUCUUAUCGAUGACGGACCGAAACGGUGUUCAUCUUGUCGUCCGAAUUAUUUAACGAUUAGAUUUGUCCGGAACUUGGCCGACAAUCGAUGCUUUGUACCUAUUCCACUGCAAUAAUGAUUUGAACGUUUCACGCGCACUGCAGUUAGUAAUGAUGUUUACUGUGCGCCGCGC